CGCGCAGGCGGUCGUUCAAGUCGAGUGUGAAAGCCCCCGGCUCAACUGGGGAGGGUCAUUCGAUACUGAUCGACUCGAAGGCAGGAGAGGGUAGUGGAAUUCCCGGUGUAGUGGUGAAAUGCGUAGAUAUCGGGAGGAACACCAGUGGCGAAGGCGACUACCUGGCCUGUUCUUGACGCUGAGGCGCGAAAGCUAGGGAGCAAACG
rnacentral:rRNA from 1 species